rnacentral:lncRNA from 1 species
UCUGCAUCUCCUUGUCGGUCUCCCAGGUGGCUUCCUCCACGGGCUGACCCCUCCACUGCACCUUCACCGAAGCUAUGUCCUUUGAUCUCAACUUUCAAACCUGACGACCUAAAAUAGUCACCGGCUCCACAUCAUAGGUCAAAUCUUCAUUUAACUGGAUCGUGCUGAAGUCCAACACAUGAGACGGGUCCCCAACAUACUUCCGGAUCAUAGAGAAAUGAAACACCGGGUGAACACCCGAUAAGCUAGGUGGCAAAGCAAGCAUAUAGGCCACCUCCCCAAUUCUCCUAAGUAUUUCAAAAGGUCCAAUGAACCUUGGACUCAGCUUCCCUUUCUUUCCAAACCUCAUAACGCCUUUCAUUGGUGAAACCUUCAACAAGACCUUCUCGCCCACGGCAUAAGAUACCUCUCGAAACUUCCGAUCCGCAUAACUCUUCUGACGCGACUGAGCCAUACGAAGUCUCUACUGGAUUACUUUCACCUUCUCUAAGGCAUCCUGAACUAACUCUGUCCCCAAUAAUCUAGCCUCCUCGGGCUCAAACCAACCAACCGGAGAUCUACACCGUCUCCCAUAUAAGGCCUCAUAUGGCGCCCCUCGCCGGGCUCAAACCAACCAACCGGAGAUCUACACUGUCUCUCAUAUAAGGCCUCAUAUGGCGCCAUCUGAAUGCUGGAUUAAUAGCUGUUAUUAUACGCAAACUCCGCAAGUGGCAAGAAUUCAGCCCAAGAACCUCCAAAAUCAAUAGCACAGGCACGCAACUUGUCUUCCAAUAUCUGAAUAGUUCGCUCGGACUGUCCGUCCGUCUGUGGGUGAAAUGUUGUGCUCAACUGUACCUGUGUGCCCAACUCCCGAUGAAAAGUCCUUUAGAACUGGGAAGUAAACACGGUACCCCUAUCUGAUACAAUGGAAACCGGGAUCCCAUGCAACCGUACAAUCCCCCGAAUGAAAAUCUCUGCUAACUUCUCCGCCGAAUAGGUAGUACAUACUAGAAUGAAAUGCGCGAACUUAGUCAUCCUAUCCACCAUCACCCAAACCGAAUCAAACUUCUUUGAGGUACGAGGAAGACCACUCAUAUAAUCCAUAGUAAUGUUUUCCCAUUUCCACUCCGGAAUAUCCAUCCGCUGGAAUACACCAACGGGUCUCUGGUGCUCGUAUUUGACUGCUGACAGUUAAGACACCGAGCCACGUAAUUCACAAUGUCCUUUUUCAUUCUUCUCCACCAGUAAUGCUGUCUCAAAUCCCGGUACAUUUUUGCGGCACACGGAUGAAUCGAAUACCGCGAGCUAUGAGCCUCCUCUAAAAUCAACUAUUGGAGACCAUCCACAUUAGGCACGCAAAUCCGACCCUGCAUUCGCAAUACGCCGUCAUCUCCAAUGGUCACAUCUCUGGCAUCAUCAUGCUGGACUCUGUCCUUCAGGACAAGCAAAUGCGGGUCAUCAUACUGCCUCUCUCUGAUGCGGUCAUACAAAGAAUACCGGGAAAUCACACUCGCCAACACCCGACUGGGCUCGGAAAUAUCUAACCUCGCCAUCUGAUUGGCCAAGGCCUG